rnacentral:rRNA from 1 species
UAAUACGAAGGGUGCAAGCGUUACUCGGAAUUACUGGGCGUAAAGCGUGCGUAGGUGGUUUGUUAAGUCUGAUGUGAAAGCCCUGGGCUCAACCUGGGAAUUGCAUUGGAUACUGGCAGGCUAGAGUGCGGUAGAGGAUGGCGGAAUUCCCGGUGUAGCAGUGAAAUGCGUAGAGAUCGGGAGGAACAUCUGUGGCGAAGGCGGCCAUCUGGACCAGCACUGACACUGAGGCACGAAAGCGUGGGGAGCAAACAGGAUUAGAUACCCU